rnacentral:lncRNA from 1 species
GGAAGAGGAGAGAUAAUUUUCUCUUACUUUGAUUAAUAAGGAGCUUAUAUAUGACUCCAGUAUAACAAAUAACUAAUAAGGAGCUGAGACUUUCCAAAGAAGUAUAAAGCACUGGGUGAAAAAAUGUUUUCCUUCGAUGAAAAUGCGUUGGUUUUGACUUUUAAAGAAGGGCUGGUAAAGGCCCUUGCUCCCUGCUGCGGUGCCCCAGCUUUUCCGAAGCAGACAGACUGUGGCCCCCAAGGCUCAGCCCCCUUGUUGCUGCCUUUUUUUCUCAGCCCGCUUCUGCUCGCUCGGCUCCCUCAAGCCUUCACUUCAUUCUAACCCUGACCAAGUUGAACAUCAGUGUCGGAGAGCUUCAGUGGACAUCUGUCAUAUGCGCUGUGUGUAGUAUUCAUACACCCUAUUGUCGUGGAAAAGAAGCAUCGUGUUACAAGCCAGUUAAUUGGAUCGUGGACAACAUGGAAAUGGCUUAGUUCAGUUCAUAACUGGAGCAGUCAUGGCAGUCAGUGUUGGAUGAAUCCUCCCUGUCAUUUACCCCCAGGCUGUACCCGGAAAGGAUAGCCUCGCCUCUUUCCAGCAGGUUUCCCUUUAGAGUUUGCUGAAAUGCCUCUUGGGCCAGCCAGCUCUGUGCCCAGCCCGGGGAGGAAGUUUUUCUUGAUUUCAAGCUUUUAUUUGCUUCUUUGCAAACUUGCACUGGCUGGUCUAAUGCAUCUUCCCCCUGAUAGCCCUUCAGCCACUUGGAGACAGCCGCCAUAACUCCUCCCUCCAGGCCUUACAGCCAGCCCUGAUACACAUGAACCCCAUCCUCAUCGGUCUGAGAUCAACUGCUCCGGGUGGCAGAGCACCCUGAAAUUUCCAGUGGGAUCUGGAUGUGCCGUUGGUUUCCUAAAUGACUAGCAGUGUGAUUGUUUAACAGGGAAAGAGCUCAGAAAAUGCAGGUGAUGAAAAGGUUAAUGUACUUUUGUGUUCUGUUGGAUCUGAGAUGCAGUGGAAGAGUAUGUUCUAAUAUAUAAGCAAUCUCAUUGUUGAAACACUGUAAGAUUGGGGACAUUCAACUUGUUUAACUUUUGCUAAUUUUCCUAAAAUAUUUGUAAAAUGUUUUAUAUUGUUUUUUUAGGAAAACAGACCAAAUAAGAACAGGAAGAAAAAUACAUGAAUGACAUGAUU